rnacentral:rRNA from 1 species
AUUGAACGCUGGCGGCAGGCCUAACACAUGCAAGUCGAACGAGUGGCGGACGGGUGAGUAAUGUCUGGGAAACUGCCUGAUGGAGGGGGAUAACUACUGGAAACGGUAGCUAAUACCGCAUACCAUCAGAUGUGCCCAGAUGGGAUUAGCUUGUUGGUGGGGUAACGGCUCACCCAGGCGACGAUCCCUAGCUGGUCUGAGAGGCUGACAAUGCAACCUGUAACUGAGGCACGGUCCAUACUCCUACGCGAGGCAGCAGUGGAGAAGAUUGAACAAUUGGCGAAAGCCUGAUGCAGCCAUGCCGCGUGUAUGAAGAAGGCCUUCGGGUUGUAAAGUACUUUCAGUGGUGAGGCGUUACCCGCAGAAGAAGCACCGGCUAACUCCGUGCCAGCAGCCGCGGUAAUUC